rnacentral:rRNA from 1 species
AACGAACGCUGGCGGCAGGCCUAACACAUGCAAGUCGAGCGAGGACUUCGGUCCUAGCGGCGUCCGAGUGAGUCACGCGUGGGAACGUUCCCUUUGCUUCGGCCUAGCCCUGGGAAACUGGGAGUAAUACCGGAUGGGCCCUUUGGGGGAAAGAUUUAUCGACGAAGGAUCGGCCCUCGUUGGAUUAGGUAGUUGGUGGGGUAAUGGCCUACCACGCCGCCGAUCCAUAGCUUGUUUGAGAGGAUGAUCAGCCACACUGGGACUGAGACACGGCCCAGACUCCUACGGGAUGCAGGAGUGGGGAAUCUUAGACAAUGGGGUGAAACCUGAUCGAGCCAUGCCGCGUGAGCGAUGAAGGCCGUAGGGUUGUAAAGCUCUUUCAGCUGGGAAGAUAAUGACGGUACCAGCAGAAGAAGCCCCGGCUAACUCCGUG